rnacentral:rRNA from 1 species
CAGCCGCCACGGAAUACAGAGGGUGCGAGCGUUAAUCGGAUUUACUGGGCGUAAAGCGUGCGUAGGCGGCUUCUUAAGUCGGAUGUGAAAUCCCUGAGCUUAACUUAGGAAUUGCAUUCGAUACUGGGAAGCUAGAGUAUGGGAGAGGAUGGUAGAAUUCCAGGUGUAGCGGUGAAAUGCGUAGAGAUCUGGAGGAAUACCGAUGGCGAAGGCAGCCAUCUGGCCUAAUACUGACGCUGAGGUACGAAAGCAUGGGGAGCAAACAGGAUUAGAUACCCCCGUAGUCCCUGUCUCUUAUACA